UUCCCCUGCCUCACCGAUUUCAGGCUGGCUCAAGUCCUUCACAUCGCGCAGGCAGCACGGGCUGCCCUAUCCUCCUUUCCUGAAGGAGGAUUUAGCAGUGCCAGCAAUCCACUGCAUUUUUGGAGAGUGUGGGGCGAGUUCUGCACUGAUUUACUGCACUGCAGUACAUGGAAUCCAUUGGUGUUGGCCAGGUGACACAAGAUCACAUGGAGCAGAACUUAGAACCAGUGUAUUCUUACUGCCUGUUAUCUAUUAGUUUGCCUAAUGUCCAUAUAAAGAGCUUUUUUGACUUAAACCCCUUGUGUCUAACUGGAUAAGAAUAUUUUAGCUUCAGAUAUUAUAUAAUAACAUUUUAUAUGCAAUUUAUGAAUGUUAGACAAUCAGCGGUGGCAUUAAGUAAUAUUUUUCUGUGGUUUGUUUGGGGUUUCUUUCCUUUUCUGUUUGUUUGAGAAAGCUCAUUGGACAAAAUCUUUUGAAUACAAGGCAUGAUCAUGCGUUUAGCCUUUUCUGCAGAAAAAAAAAUUAAAAAAGAACUUUAGAGAAAGAAUACUUGAGUAAAAAUUGCUUGGGUAGAAGGAAAGUCCUUUGCAAUGACAACUUAUGAGUUCUAAACUUUCCUUUUUCUGCAGCUUUUUCACUUGGUCUUAUAAAAACAUCCUCUGCCCCUGCAAGGUUUGCUUGUCACUGUAACACCAGAGCUGAUAGACACUGCCCACUUUAACUCAAAACUGUCAUCGUCAGAUCAAUGUGAUGGCUGAGAUGAGAAUAAUUCAGACUUAAACUAUCCAGUGCCUAGGAUUUAGAAUGACUAAUGGCUUUGAAAUAAAAAAGUCAAUCAAUUCUACAAACAUGUCAGGCAGUCGCCAGAAUUUCAAUUUCUGGUUUUGGUUGGAAACAAAUCUGGCACUGUUCAGGCUGAUGCAGAAUCCAGUUUUAUUUUCACUAAUUCCAGUCUCAAAAAUGAGCCAAGAACCCUGCAGAAACACAGGCCUUACUCCAAUUGUCAGAUUAGUAAGGGCUUACACGGACAUGGAUCAGGCUGCUUUUGCAGGUUGGUGCAUAGAUUGAGAAGAUAAUAACCUAAAGAUAUCAUUCAGGCAAGAUUUAAAACUCUGCUUCAUUUUACAUGUGUAGGCAGUCUCGAAGAGAUCAAUGGGAUUACCCACGUGCAUAAAGUUAAAUGCACACAUAAAUCUUUGUGAAGCUGUGACCCAAGGGUCCAGCCUUGUAUUUAUCUUCAAUAUAGAGUUUAGUUCUAGAGGCAAUUUCAUUGAUGACUUAAAUAUGCUCACACUCAGUAGUGUCUCAUAUUCAUGGCUGCAUGUGUCUGAUUGAUCAGGUCCUUAAAAAACGUGUGGAGUGGCAGAAAAGAGAAGUUUUUUUUCAGUCUGUUCACUUUCAGUAUUGUGACUCCAACCAGCUUUAAAUCCUUCUCUUGCCUUGCAUUUUUACUCUGAAAAGGCAGAAGAUGUUCAUUAGUGCUUAAUUAAUGUGAUUUUUCAGUCUUCAUCAGGACUUCCAAUUCCACCACAUAUGGUUCUUAACUUUAGUUUAUAAUUAGAUUUCUAGUGAUAAAUUGGUCUCCCCUUUACCCAAGUUCAGAUUAAAACAUAUUUGAUUUUUUUUUUUUUUUAUUAUGACUGGUUUAGUGUUCCCUUUCCUGUAGGAAUUUCCUUUCCCUUUCCCUUUCCCUUGGCAAAUGUGAUCUACCCUCAUGUAGCUGCUUUGGUUUUGACCCGUUGACACUCACUGAUGUAUAUUCAAGAAUCUUCAAUUAAAUGUAACUGGGCUCAACAGA